rnacentral:lncRNA from 1 species
AGACACGUAAAUGCCCUCUGCCCCCCGCUUACCCAGAGCCAUCGGCAGGAUAAAAGACUGAGCUAUCUCGAAGUGCCGCAAUACAAGAUGUAACAGCUUCCUACCAACUUGGAAAUGAUGCAUUUUGCUGUACCAUCUGAAGCUCAGAUCUAUCUCAUCAAAUAUCGUAAAUGGCUGUAAAAGUGGACAGACGUGGUCCUACCUUGCAGAUGGGGACCUCUAAAGAACAUACAUGAGGGUCUCUUCAGUCAGAGGCAUUUUGCUGCCACCUUUCAGAGGUCACAAGAUCCAGUAUCCAGCAGGGAUGUAAGCAGACUGGCUGCAACAACAUUUUGGUGAGCUUUGCCCUUAUCCCACAAAACAAGACAUGAAACAUAUCCAUACCACAUUAUUCAAAGAAUGUUUUGCAGAAACAUAUUCCAGCCCUCUGUCUUGCUCCACCUAGCCCAUGUAUCUGUUUGCACUGCAUAGAGUAAAUAGAGAGACCCACGGAGUACACUAUGUCAUUAAAUUUACCUAAUUUUCAACCAUCCAACUAAGUAAUUGCUAAAUUAUCUAUAUUUAGGAGUAUCCUAAAUAUCCUCUAGAGUAACACUCUAGAGGAAGAUGUUGGUAAUCAGUUUCCCAUCUGACUCUGUACCCUGAUGUAAUUUUAGUAAAAUAACAUAACAUCUUCCCUGGUCCGUUAGAGGGAAGGUGCUUUGCCUUGGAGAAAGUUACUUUUUACAUCUCAAAUCCUCAGUUUUUGAGAGUGUCAGCCCUAGAAAAGGCCAUUAAGUCCAUGAUGUUGUUACAUGCUAUACAAGGGUAAACUAUUAUGAAAGCAUAUUCUGAUUAAGUCUGUAAUUCCUUAUUGGAAAACCACUAAACCUUCCACAGCAAUGAUAAAAAGCAUGUGGUGAACAGCAUUU